rnacentral:rRNA from 1 species
AGUCGAACGGCAGCACGGGACUUCGGGUCUGGUGGCGAGUGGCGAACGGGUGAGUAAUGUAUCGGAACGUGCCUAGUAGCGGGGGAUAACUACGCGAAAGCGUAGCUAAUACCGCAUACGCCCUUCGGGGGAAAGCGGGGGGACCUUCGGGCCUCGCACUAUCAGAGCGGCCGAUAUCGGAUUAGCUAGUUGGUGGGGUAACGGCUCACCAAGGCGACGAUCCGUAGCCGGUUUGAGAGGACGACCAGCCACACUGGGACUGAGACACGGCCCAGACUCCUACGGGAGGCAGGGCACUGGGAUUAAAUGGGGGAAACCUGAUCCGGCCAUCCCGGGCGUGUGCGACGCAAAGGCUCUCAAGUAAAGCACUUUUGGCAGGAGAAACGCGCACGGGAUAAUACCCCGUGCAACUGACGGCACCAGAAUAAGCACCGGCUAACUACGUGCCAGCAGCCGCGGUAAUACGUGGAAGUGUUGCUGACCCGGCUCGGUCAUGCAGAUGGCGCAGGGUUCGGAAAGAAAGAUGGAACUUGUAAGUCAACUUUGGAACUGCAUUUUUAACUACCGAGCUAGAGUGUGUCAGAGGGAGGAAUUCCGCGUGUAGCAGUGAAAUGCGUAGAUAUGCGGAGGAACACCGAUGGCGAAGGCAGCCUCCUGGGAUAACACUGACGCUCAUGCACGAAAGCGUGGGGAGCAAACAGACGAUACCCUGGUAGUCCACGCUCCUAAAACGAUGUCAACUAGCUGUUGGGGUUCCCGGGCCUUGGCAGCGCAGCUAACGCGUGAAGUUGACCGCCUGGGGAGUACGGUCGCAAGAUUAAAACUCAAAGGAAUUGACGGUAGACCCGCACAAGCGGUGGAUGAUGUGGAUUAAUUCGAUGCAACGCGAAAACCUUACCUACUCCUUGACAUGUCUGGAAUCCCGAAGAGAUUGGGAGUGCCUGCAAGAGAACUGGACACAGCAGUGCUGGGCUGCUGUCGUCAGCUCGGGGCCGUGAGAUGUUAAAGGAACCCCGCAACGAGCGCAACCCGCAGUCAUUGGGGUUGCUACGGAAAGGGCACUCUGACGAGACUUCGCCGGUGACAAACCGGAGGAAGGUGGGGAUGACGUCAAGUCCUCAUGGCCCUUGCGGUAGGGCUUCACACGUUAUACAAUGGUCGGGACAGAGGGUCGCCAACCCGCGAGGUGAGCAGUCCCAGAAACCCGAUCGUAGUCCGGAUCGCAGUCUGCAACUCGACUGCGUGAAGUCGGAAUCGCUGGUGGAACGCGGAUCAGCAUGUCGCGGUAAGACGUUCCCGGGUCUUGUACACACCGCCCGUCACACCAUGGGGAGUGGGUUUUACCAGAAGUAGUUAGCCUAACCGUAAGGAGGGCGAUUUACUACUUAGAUCUAUGACUGGUGAAGUCGUAACAAGGUAA